CCUUUACCUACCCUUUGACAUGUCCGGAAUCCCGAAGAGAUUUGGGAGUGCUCGCAAAGAGAGCCGGAACACAGGUGCUGCAUGGCUGUCGUCAGCUCGUGUCGUGAGAUGUUGGGUUAAGUCCCGCAACGAGCGCAACCCUUGUCAUUAGUUGCCAUCAUUUGGUUUGGGCACUCUAAUGAGACUGCCGGUGACAAACCGGAGGAAGGUGGGGAUGACGUCAAGUCCUCAUGGCCCUUAUGGGUAGGGCUUCACACGUCAUACAAUGGUCGGUACAGAGGGUUGCCAACCCGCGAGGGGGAGCUAAUCCCACAAAGCCGAUCGUAGUCCGGAUCGCAGUCUGCAACUCGACUGCGUGAAGUCGGAAUCGCUAGUAAUCGUGGAUCAGCAUGUCACGGUGAAUACGUUCCCGGGUCUU
rnacentral:rRNA from 1 species